rnacentral:rRNA from 1 species
ACGCUGGCGGCGUGCCUAAUACAUGCAAGUAGAACGCUGAAGAGAGGAGCUUGCUCUUCUUGGAUGAGUUGCGAACGGGUGAGUAACGCGUAGGUAACCUGCCUGGUAGCGGGGGAUAACUAUUGGAAACGAUAGCUAAUACCGCAUAAUAGCAGUUAUUGCAUGAUAACUGUUUGAAAGGUGCAAAUGCAUCACUACCAGAUGGACCUGCGUUGUAUUAGCUAGUUGGUGAGGUAACGGCUCACCAAGGCGACGAUACAUAGCCGACCUGAGAGGGUGAUCGGCCACACUGGGACUGAGACACGGCCCAGACUCCUACGGGAGGCAGCAGUAGGGAAUCUUCGGCAUGGACGGAAGUCUGACCGAGCAACGCCGCGUGAGUGAAGAAGGUUUUCGGAUCGUAAAGCUCUGUUGUAAGAGAAGAACGAGUGUGAGAGUGGAAAGUUCGCACUGUGACGUAUCUACCAGAA